CGUUGCAAACUCAGUGGUAGAGUGCUUGCCUAGAAUAUAUGAGGCCCUGGGUUCAAUCCCUAGAACCA
rnacentral:tRNA from 1 species